UACGUAGGGACCGAGCGUUGUCCGGAAUCAUUGGGCGUAAAGAGCGUGUAGGCGGCUAUUUAAGUCCUGCGUGAAAUCCUGCGGCUCAACCGCAGACGGUCGUGGGAAACUGGAUGGCUAGAGUCCGGAAGAGGAGAGUGGAAUUCCCGGUGUAGCGGUGAAAUGCGCAGAUAUCGGGAAGAACACCCGUGGCUAAGGCGGCUCUCUAGUACGGUACUGACGCUGAGACGCGAAAGCGUGGGGAGCGAACAGG
rnacentral:rRNA from 1 species